rnacentral:tRNA from 1 species
UCUUUCAAGGAGGCAGCGGGGAUUCGACUUCCCCUGGGGGUAGGGUAGGGUUA